AUGGGCUUUCCGAGACUAUUCGAGAAUGUACGAAUUCGAAUAUCUCGCUAAGUCUGAGA
rnacentral:pre_miRNA from 1 species